rnacentral:lncRNA from 1 species
CGAAGCUCUGUUCCCUCUGGCUGACAGUCUUUCAAGUUGGUAAAAAUGACAUAGAAGAUUUCCUUUCUCUGCUGAGGAAGAUUAGCCCUGAGCUAACAUCUGUGCCGAUCUUCCUCUACUUUGUAUGUGGGUCACCGCUACAGCACAGCUGACGAGUGAUGUAUAUCCACGCCUGGGAGCCGAACCCGUGAACCUGGGCUGCUGAAGGGGAGUGCACCGAACUUAACCACUGCGCCACAGGACCAGCCCUGAGAAGCAGCAGAACAGAAAGAACGUCAGCGGAACAGAAAGGAGUCCCUGCUUUCAGAGGUGGCACAAAGCUCCAGAAUCACCACGGGCUUUGUGCUGGGUCAGCUGGCACCCACCUGGCAGGUUUUAGGAAGAACAAGAGCGUUCGUUUGAAUAGAUGGUCUGAGAAGCAAGCUCCUAGAUGGAGCAUCAAGUGGAACGCCCAUCCCACAGGGCAGCAUGGCAGCAGGCUUCCAUGAGUGAGCAAUCCAAGAGACAGCAAGACAGAAGCCAACGUCUUUAAUAACCUAGAUUCUGAGUGGCACACCAUCGCUUUGGUCCUAUACUGUUGGCCACACAGACCGACCCUGAUACAAUGUGGGAGGGAUCCACACAAGGAAGCAGGCACCAGGAAACAGCAUUAUUGAGAGCCAUCUCAAAGGCUGCCUGGCUACCAUGAGCCUCCUCUGAGAGACGGCUGCUUCGGACACAUCUUUUCACUGCCAAUAUUUGACACAGGUCUGGUCAGGUAGGAGGUGCCCAAUGAGGUUUGUUGAUGAUGAAGAGAUGUUGGGCACUCACCAUAAGCUGGAAUUAAAUGAAAAGUCCUCCUGAGGAUGAGGCAUAAUCAGAAAUAUUUCUUAAUAGACAUAAUUAAUACUGCAGAAUAUUUUUCUGAUUUUCAAUUGUUUUCAUUUAUAUUAAUAAAGUAAGGCUUGGGCCUAAGUAGGAUAAAAUUAAAUGUCCAGGGGAUGGCUUGAAAUGGGCCCUAACUGACUAUUUCCUCCCUAACUAUUAUGGUGGGCACUAAUUCUAUUCAAAACCACAAGAAGGAUAAGGCAUCAUCAGAGAAAGAUAAACCUCACACAAUUGGUUUUUAAAGAAAAUUUUUACAUCCCACAUUAUUCUAAAUGGGUUUAUAGUAAGCCCUUGCCUUUUUUUAUUCUCAGAAACUGAAGUUGGACUCCUUGAGAAGAAUGAUUAAUCUAAACUCACCAGCCAUUAACUAAGGAUUGGUUUAUUAUACAGACUUGAAGGAAGACCUCGUCUCCUCUCCUAACUUCUUUGCUCUCCAUGAGUUCUUAAUCUCCAAGACCAGACAAAAACAAAGGAUUUUUAGAGUAAGGUCGGUAUAAAAACUUCCCCACCAUUUUUUUUUACUGUUUUCCAAUUUACAGAAAAAUAAAGCUGGAGUAGAAAUAAA